AAAAAAGCGGGGUUGCUCCCAAAGCAUGAAUAGGUUUUCCUAGUGAAGGGAUUGUGGAAUCCAAGACCAUUGCUUUGAAAGGAGAUACAGCAUCAGUGGAAUGCACAUUAAGCUGCUUCUCAUUAUUAAUAUUUGCCUCUUUGUAAUUCUCUGAGGAACAAAUACCAAUAUUUGCUUGCCCUUCCUCAGUUCCUUCAUCAGAAAUCAUAUUCCUCAUUUUAUUUGAAACCGAAAACUGAUCAUGAGGGGCUAUCUCAAAAGUUACAUCCACAUUUAAUGAGGACAAGCCAUCAGAUUGAUCACUUUCUUUUUUCUUUUUGAAUAUCCCUGGCUUCUUAAGCAUAGCAGCCUCAAUGGCUGCUUUUAAUUUACUACCUUUGCUCAUGUCCUCCCUAACAGUCCUUGCAGCAGAUGUAUCAACAACAGAAGCCCGAGGACUAACAACUGUGCAACAAUCUGUAGCAUGCCCAAUUUCCUUGCAUUUUUGACAGGUAAUAUUUUUUGGGCCAGCAGUAAUAGCAGGCCUUGAGCGAGAAACAGAACUUUCCCUCGUUUUCUCACUCUGAUUUGAUGAUUCCCGUG
rnacentral:misc_RNA from 1 species